ACCGCCACGGAUGCCGCUCGUAUUAACCGGAAGCGAUGUUUCGCGUGAGCGUGAAACUCGCAGUCAAAACUAUACACGGACGUAUAGUUUUGACGAUGU
rnacentral:sRNA from 1 species